GACGAACGCUGGCGGCGCGCUUAACACAUGCAAGUCGAACGGAAAGGCCUGCUUUCCCUUGUGGAUUGUGGGUACUCGAGUGGCGAACGGGUGAGUAACACGUGAGUGAUCUGCCCCCAACUUGGGUAUAAGCCUGGGAAACUGGGUCUAAUUCCCGAUAGGACUGCAGGGUGGUGCCUGUUGUGGAAAACGAUUUUCUAGUGGUUGGGGAUGAGCUCGCGGCCUAUCAGCUUGUUGGUGGGGUAAUGGCCUACCAAGGCGGCGACGGAUAGCCGGCCUAAGAGGCUGGACGGCCACAUUGGGACUGAGAUACGGCCCAGACUCCUACGGGAGGCAGCAGUGGGGAAUAUUACACGAUGGACCGAAGCCUGAUGCAGCGAGGCCGCGUGGACGAUGACGGGCUUCAGGUUGUAAACUCCUUUCGACCGCGGGGAAGCCACCUGGUUGGAAGGGUGGUGACGGUAGUGGAAGAAGAAGCACCGGCUAACUACGUG
rnacentral:rRNA from 1 species